rnacentral:rRNA from 1 species
AACGUAGGAGGCAAGCGUUAUCCGGAUUUACUGGGCGUAAAGCGCAUGCAGGCGGUUCGUUAAGUUGGGCAUGAAAUCUCUCGGCUUAACCGGGAGGGGUUGUCCAAUACUGGCGGACUUGAGGGCAGGAGAGGGAAGCGGAAUUCCAGGUGUAGCGGUAAUAUGCGCAGAUAUCUGGAGGAACACCAGUGGCGAAGGCGGCUUUCUGGCCUGUACCUGACGCUAAGAUGCGAAAGCCAGGGGAG